CUUUCUCCGCCGGCGACCGGCGCACGGGUGAGUAACACGUAUGCAACCUGCCCCUGUCAGGGGGACAACCCGCCGAAAGGCGGGCUAAACCCGCGUACAUGCCACCGGGGCAUCCCGGAGGGCAGGAAAGGCUUCGGCCGGACAGGGAUGGGCAUGCGGCGCAUUAGGCAGUAGGCGGGGUAACGGCCCACCUAACCGACGAUGCGUAGGGGUUCUGAGAGGAAGGUCCCCCACACUGGUACUGAGACACGGACCAGACUCCUACGGGAGGCAGCAG
rnacentral:rRNA from 1 species